GUCUGAUCAACGAUUGUAAGCUACUCCCUGAUUAAUUGGAAGCAGGCCUGCAAGGUGUAGAGAAGACUACUGAUUGCGCAAUACUCGGGCCUUAUAUGGAGUAACUGGUGCUUUAUUUUUGAUAAUCUCAACAGGGCAUCAACACUCACGAUAAGAAUUGUAUGCUGAUCCUUGCAGAUGUGUACUGGGUUGCCAUUAUUCAACUCUCCGUAUUGGGUGGGUGUGCCUGUUUACCGACAAGGAACAGAGGCCAACCUACAGAAAUAACCAAGAAUGCAGUGGAAGAGGAAAAUAAAUAAUAUUGAUGUGAAUGUAGUGGAUACUGCUGGAAGAUUGCAGAAUAUACACAUUGGACGCCAGAAAUCAACAAAAAGAGUGAGAUUAUGAAAUACCUUCAGAUAAAGUGGUCAAAUGUGAUUGUCUAUUUGCAGCACGCCGAGGAUUGGUAUCUCCAGGAUCUAUUAACCAGAUUGGAUAUGUAAUAUAGAUGAGGAGAAUGAGGUUGUAUUAGGCCUAAGAAUUGUAUUGAUUAGUACGAAACCUGAAUUUUCGUUUUGCA